UGAUUCUUAAAGGUAAAUUUAAAAUGUUUUGAGGAAUAGUAUUAUUUUACAAGGAUAUAGUCUCUUAAGUAUUCAGAAACACUUUAGGGGGCGCCUGGGUGGCUCAGUCGGUUAAGCCUCCGACUUUGGCUCAGGUCAUGAUCUCAUGGCUCCUGAGUUCAAGCCCCACAUCUGUGCUGACAGCUCGGAGACUGGAGCCUGCUUUAGAUUCUGUCUCCCAAUCUUUCUGCCCCUCCCCCACUCAUGCUCUGACUCUCUCUCUCUCUCUCUCAAAAAUAAACAUUAAAAAAAAAAAGAAAAAAGAAAAACCUUAGGGAAAAAGGGGGUUUUAUCAAAAUAUACCAGAGUUUAAACAUUCUAUAUUGUCAUUAUUCAUCGAAACUACAUUGAAACUCAGUUUGGAGGUGAAAAAGACUUAGCUGACACAGAAAACAAUCUGUUACCAAGGUUUUCUUUUUUAAGUUUAUGGUUAAUACAUGGUGUUUUCAUUCAUAAAAUGGAAUUAGAUACUGUAUUUACAAUUCUUACUCAUCUGAUCAACAGAAGCCUUUCCAGGGCAGUUGUGCUCAAACCUUAGGGUACUUGUUAAAAAGCAGAUCAUCGGGACCCACCUGAACCACCUCAGAGAUUCUAACUCAUGAGGCAGGUAAGGACCUGGAACCUGCAUUCUUGGCAGUGGCCCCAUGACGGCUCUUAAGCACUUUGAGACACAUCUUGAAAACUGUUUCCCCAGGAAAAACGAAUGGGCAGGAAGUAUUGUGUGGUCAUCCCAUUUCCGUGUGGAAAUCCCUACCAAUUCCAGGCUGCUGACAGAAAUGCAUUUCGUAGGUGAUUCAACAGCUUGGCCUCCUACCUCUUCAUUCAAGUUUCAUAUCAGAGAGCAGACUGCAAAUUUACUACUUUUGAAUAUACUCCUGGAAAUUAUCACGAGCAGGAUACUUGCCCUUUGAUGGCAAAUACAGGCACGAAAGCCCAACAAUUCCAGCGUACAGUGGAAAGAAAACAUUGGGGAAGACCCGAAAGAGAAAGAAAGCGUUCUGUAUUGGGAAAGGCGCCGGCAGGCAGUACUCACAGAGCUCGGAGGUUGAGCAACUGCUGGAAAGUGUCAACUCUAAUUUCAAAGAUUUCAUUAUGUCGCAGGUCUCUGAAACGACAGAGUUCCAAAGAUUGAUUUCAAAGUCACUGGUUUCAAAGAUUAGUUUUCGGAGUACUUCUACAGAAGGAUUACCCGCCCUCAAUCAAAGGAACACAUGAAAUAUGAGUGUCAAGUGACUGAUUAAAAAUUUUUUGUUUUGUUUAAAGAAGAACAUUCCAAUUUAUACACUUAAGCGUUGCCGCUCUUUCAGAGCAACGAGUUCUUUCGGGUGGAUGUAAAACUAUAUUCCAAAUGCCAUCAUCAUUCAAUCACUUGGCGCCUGCUGGCUCUGCCUUGUGAGACAUUCUAGUAUUCUUUGGGGGUCUUCAAGAGAGUCAAAUCCUUACCUUUUAAAGACGGAUUUGUCUUUCUUUUUCUCUCUUAAUCACCCAAAGGCAUUCAGGGAAAAAUUAAGUGGGAAAAGACUGAUGGUUAAUAUUGUUUUUUUUUUAAAGUUUAUUUACUUAUUUUGAGAAAGACUGAGAGGGUGGGGGAGGGGCAGAGAGAGAGGGAAAGAAAGAAGAGAGAGAGAAUCCCAAGCAGGGCUGUCACUGUCAGCACAGAGCCCGACGGGGGCUCCGUCACACAAAAACCAUGAGAUCGUGACCUGAGUGGAAACCAUGAGCACCCAGGCACCCCAGAUGGUUAAUAUUGUUUUGAUCAAAACCGAAGUAUGUCUAUAAAGCAAUAAUGCUGGGGCACCCGGGUGGCUCAGUCGGUUAAGCAUCCAACUCUUGGUUUGGACUCAGGUCAUGAUCUCCCAGUCCUGAGAACAAGCUCCUCAUCGGGCUCUGGCUGACAGCGCAGAGCCUGCUCGAGACUUUCUCUCUCCCUCUCUCUGCCCCUCUCUGACUCUGCGUGCACUUUCUCCCUCUCUCGAAAAAAUAAAUAAAUAAACAUGAAAAAAAGCAAUAAGGCUGAUCCUUUGUAGAGGAGGCAAGAAGGUUAGCAUGUUUCAUGUGUAAGUAACAUCCAUGGCACCUCAAAUAUGACAGACAAAUAGGGCACCUCCUCUAAGGAUGACUAUGUGGAACCAACACCCCAACAAACCCAAGUCCUUCCUGUAUUUAAAAGUAACAUCACUCAUUGGAUAUAUAAGUUUAGAAAAAUUCCAAAGCUCAAAUAAACUCAGUUCUUAUAUCACCAAGUUUGGGGGAAGAAAGAAAAAAAGCAUAAUAAAUGCUUUACUUACAGUACAAUGCAUAGAAAAAUAAUAUUAUCUGUGUUUCCCAACUUAAUAGGCAUCCUACACAGUCACACCUUGUGUAUAUAAGAAGGGAAAAGCACCAAAUGCCUCCCCAGCGACCUGCAGGGCAAGCAAACCAAUGACCCCUGGAAAAGUGAGUUUUGGCUCUUGUUCUUUGCUAAGUGACUUAGAAACUCUUAUAGACGUACAUUUUCUGAAGCUUUUGGCAGACUGAAAAACUGGGUAAAUCUUCCAGCAGGUUGUAAGAUAGAUCUCUGAAAAACAGAAGGUACAAAAGGGAAAAUCUGUUAUAUAUUAAUCUUAAGGAAACAUGCUUUGCUCUCCUUUCCUCUCCAAGAUGAUAUAUCUCCCAAAGGCAGACUCUGAACGUUUCCCCAGCCCUGACAUGGAGCAGGUAGUCAGAGGCAUUAUUGGAUUAAGCACAGAUCCAAACGUUUACUGAAAUGUGGCUGUUGUACUUCUUUAAUUGAUUUAAAUAAUUUAUUUAACAAAUUUAUUUAUAUUUUGUUAGUGAUGAUCUACAAUGUUCUAGCUAUUAUCUUGCAGAAAUGAGUCCAAAUUAAAUUAAAUAAUUGUGUCUCUCUUUCUAGGAGCUGCUAUAUCUCUACAGCUAAGAGAAUCAUUGUUGGUUCUUUUCUAAUCAGCUAAAAAAAAAUCCAACAACAAGUCAAAACAUAGCACUAACUUUGAAAUCAAUCACUACAAGGGGGAAAAAAAAUCUAAGAAAGUCUUCAGCCAAAACUCAACAAAUUACAGAAUAACAAAAACAUCUGGACAUAUUUAUAGUAUAAUAUAACUAAUCUAAAACAAGACAUGGUAAUUUGCAGAAAGCUUAAAAAAAGAAAGCUGGUAGAUAAAGUAACAUAGAUAUUUAAAAAAAAUCUUGUCUCAUGUUUUAAAAGUUAUCGGCUAAUCAACUAACACACUUUCAUGCCUGAUUCUAAUUCUUAAAACCAGAUCGCCACCAUGGAACUGAAAAAUCCAUACUGUUUUCUAAGAGGCUUUUAAAUUAUCUUGUUCUUGUAAUUGAUCACUUUUUUCUACAUUUAGUGAAUAAAUGGAAUUCAUAUAGAAAUACAGUUCAGUUACCACACACAAAUAAUGCAAAUGAAGCUGUUUGCAAACACAAGUUUGUAGUUUAUACUAGAGGCUUGAAAGACCAAAGUAAACCAAACAAAAUAUGAAAAAACCCAAAACCAUACCCCAUACCUACGCACAAAUACACCUGGUUAAAAAUUCGGUGUAUAUUUUUAAAAAGUAGUAAAUGUGAUAAAAUGGACAUACAUAUCAUCAAAGCUGAUAAAUUUGGUUCGCUCAUCUCCACACACUGCAAGGAGACAAAUCCUUCCUGUGCACCUCUUAGUAGAGGAUACAUAAAACCUUCUCCCAUGUAAAGACCCAGUGUCACCUUCUACCUACCUUCUACCUAAUGAUUUUCAUGGCUAACAUUGAUGAAGCACUUCUUAAAUAUAGACACCAUGUUUACAGCUUUACCUAAAUUACUUCAUUUGACCUGUGGUCACCUUAUGAGGGAGACACUGAUUAUCACCAUACAAUGUGAAAUAAUUUGCCUAAGAUCACCAGCUACUUAGUGGGGAAAGCCACACACAACCAGGGAAUUCCCAUGGAGGUGAGGCAACUUGGGGGCAGUUUCUUCAUGUACAGGUACUCAGUGGAUGAUUCAGCCAAAGGGUGGAAGCUCGCAGACCUAUGUUUCCAGAACAUGAAGUAGACUGUAGUAGAGGUCGGGACCCUGAGUCCUAUUCUCAGCCUCAACUUGGAUUCUUCAACUUGGUCAAUAUGUUGGUCAAAGCAUUAUACCUUUUUUAGUUCUCUCCUUAAAUGAGAAGAUACUUGCUGAUCUUGCAGUGUUGUGAAGAACAAAUCAAAAUUACAGGUUGAAGUGCUUUGAAAAUGGCAAGCUUCUGUGGUUAAUGGAUUUGUAUUCUUUCAGACCUUUCAAGUUUCAGCUUGAGGAAAGAAUAGCUUGAAGAAAGAAUAAUGGUUUAAGGGAAAUGAGAAAGAAGUUGAUAAGAGCUAACACUGCCUGAGAGUUUAUGAUGUUCCAGUGCUGGUAUAAGUGUCUGACAUGUAGUAAUUCAUUUAAUCCUCAUGAUGAUCCUCUGAAGGAAAUGGCUAUGUCUCUAUUUUAUAGAUUGGGAAAUGGAACCCCAGAAGGGAUAAAUAACUUGCUCAAGAUCUCUUGCUGGUGUAUAGAGAGAUGGGAUUUGAACCAGAAAAACAGACCAGGGACUUUGCUCUUAGCCAAUUUAUGCAAUUCUAGACCUGGGUGGUUUACCAUUUGCUAUGUGACAUCGUGGAGACAGAUGCAGUUUAAAUGCUGGCUCCUUAAGUAUUAGCUAUAGCCUGUGAAAUGUUAGUCAUGUUAUUAAGCCAGUUUCCUUGAGAAAUGAGGGUAAUUAUGCCAUUUUGGGUGGGUAGGCAGAAUUCUAAAAUGGCCCCUAAGAUUUCCACUACCUGGUGUUCAUGCACUUUCUCCUGGUAUUCAUGCACUUUCACCAGCUAUUCAAUCAAACUGCCUGUAUUUGAAUUUGGACUCUGCUACUUUCUUGCUGUGUGACUUUGACAAAUGUGCUUAACUGUCCUAAUUGUCAGCUUCCUCAUCUGUAUCUACACCUCAGAGGGCGAUGUGGGAGAAGAGGAGGAGACUUACUCUAUGUUCCCUCCCUUUACACACAAAUGACUGACUCCAAGGCUGUCACGUGGUGUUACUACAACCUCCUAUCACUGAACAACUGAAGUCUGAAGUGGCUAGGGGGCUGGGGAGAGGGGAAGGCAGAAUCAUUAUGGCAGACAUUCCCAUUCUUCCCCUUACAUUUGUAGUGCUGCUUGUAGCUCUGCUACUGGGUGAAGCCUGUGGUGAAAUUAGAGGCAUUCAACUGACACAGAUGUCUCCUCUGUGAGAACACAGCCAUGACUGGAGACUAAGGGUCCAUUCAUUAAGUCCCCACAAUGCAUGAGAGGAUGGUAAUAGGGUUGGGAGUUGAGGGGAAGGGCUGAAAAUGGAAGGUCAAAACAAAGCUCUUCAAAUUCCUAUAAACUACUUGUCAGAAAGGGAAAGGCAGAGGAAAAAAACCCAACAACCCAAGUCAACAGAAAUAAUAUAUGCAAGCUGUUUAACCAUUAGUGGAAACACUAGAACAUGGCACCCACAACGAUACCGGAAGAAUGUUUGGUCACCUUUAUCAAGGAUGGAAAAAUCAAAAAGAACUAUGGCCACUUACAUUGUAAUAAGAGAAGGAUUGCCUACAAAUGCUUUCUCAGGACUGGAAGGUGCUUUGCAUUGCUAAGAUAUCAUGCCCAGCCCUGUGUGGAUAAGGGAGAAGUUCUAAUUUUACCAAGCAGCUCAUGGGAAUGGCUUGCUUAUGCCAUGAAAUUGACUUCAAAGUUCUGGAUAAGUUCAUCUUUGGCAUCUCCUUAUGAGGAUGGUUCCUCUCUUCUAAGAGGAGGCACAGGGUGAUUUAAGUAACCCUGGAAAGAGAGCGUGAGCACUCAUUGACCUGUAGAAGACCACUAACAACAGAUGGUCCCUCAGGAAAUCACCAGACCCAGACCUGGUUCGAAGCUAAACCGACCAUGUACGAAUGCUAAGCUCUGUAUUCAAAUAAAUAAUGGGCUCCAAGGCCACAGAAGAGAUGGUCUUUGGUAUCUCUUGGGUCAGAGCCAACAUUGUAGAUUCAGGCCCUGUGUGACUUACUGUAUUUGAAUAUUAAAAAUAUGGGAGUGAGAGGGGGCACAAAUGGAAGCAUGCCCUUUCUUCCAGAACACUCAGGACCCUCACUGCCUGUCACCUUACCCUCAUUAUACCUCUCUCACUCAGCUAGGGCAAUGAGGAGCAGCUCUUCCCCUGGGAAACGGCUGGAGCCUGGUGAGGUCAAUGAGAAUUCUUCUCACCGUGCCUCUGGGAAAGGCUCUUGGCGGUCAGCUGGCUGGACUCUAUUUUUAUUAUAGGUACCAAUUCAGAACUGAACUUUUGACCUAUUCUUUGGAAGCAGUGUAUACUGGUAAGCAUGGACUUCAGACUCAAACUAGGGAAGAAGCAAAUCCCAGCUAUGCUACUGACUAGAUAUGUCAUGUUCGUAAAAUAACUUAACCUGACUAGAGCAGAAAGUGGGACAGUGAUGGCUGCUCUCCUCAGAUGGCUGUUAAAUGAAACAAUGUCUGCCAACACGCAGUGCAAUAUUUGGUUAUAGAUAUGCCCAAGAAAUGGUAGCUGUUAUUAUUUUUUAGUUUUUUGAAUUGCUUUAGUGUGAACCUUUGUGGUUUGUUAAUGAGACGCCUGUUCAUCUCAGAUGAGAGAGUCCUGGCAUUUGCCUGGUUGGUGUCCUCUCAUUGGGGGCAGUGGGGUGGGGGAGCAGGCAGUGCAGGCUAGACUCAUGAAUAGUGAGCCUG